rnacentral:misc_RNA from 1 species
AUCUAUGCAGGCAUCUCAUUUGAAUUAGGACAUCGAGGAAGUGAUGAUUUCGUGCUGUGUUUGCUGCACUGUUAUUUGACUUUUGUUUUGAUUCAGAACUUUAAAUGAUGGAAAGAUAUCAUUGCAAGGUCCAAUCUGAAGAUAAGUUCUGUUUACGAUAAUUACGACGAGACUUUUGUAAAAAAAAAAAAACAAACAAACAAAAACAAAAAACAAAAUAAGGUAGCUGAGAAACUUCCUCGUUCAAAUGCAGAAGAGGGCGUUUUGACAGAACAAUCUUGAUCGAAGCAACAA